rnacentral:misc_RNA from 1 species
CGGAAGCCGGUUGGGAUCAUGUGAUCCAUGACGUAGCCAGCAGUCAGCUCUAAUAACAGCAGUCAGAUUUCAACUAACUAUUUCAGUGGAAGGGAGCAACAGUAAAUAUAGCAUCAGGAGAAUAAGCAAGCUAUUAAAAAAAAUAAGAAAAAAUUAUUGCCUCAGCUUUUAACACCUGUCAUUGUAUAAAGCCAGAAGUCAAUCAAAAUGGCCUGGAGAUUUAAAGCUUCGAAGUAUAAGAAUUCCUGUCCGAAAUUUCCUAAAAAAGAAGAUUGGAUAACUGACAUCAGUACAGGACGAUUGCUACAAUCUUUUGGGAAUCAUAUCAAGGCAAAUUCUUUCUACAUGGUAUUUAAUGUAGAUAAUUUAGGUGGUGGAGCCCUGGGAAUUUUACCUUUGAACAGCACUGGUCGGCAAGGGCCUGAUCUUCCUUUAUUGUCAGCUCACUCAGAUUAUGUUGCUGACUUUGAUUUCUCUCCAUUUGAUGAUAAUCUUUUAAUUACUGGAUCACAUGACUGCACUGUAAAGCUGUGGCAGUUGCCUUCUAGUUCAAAAAACCUGAAGAAUUCUUUAAAUUUGAAUUCACAAAUUGUUUGUACAGAAGAGAGAAAAAUUGAAAACGUCCUUUGGAAUCCAGUUGCUGAGGGUAUUUUAGCUGUGUCUUCCGCUGAAAGUGUUCGUCUUUAUGAUGUUUCAAGCUGCAAAAAAAGUUUAUCCCUAGAUGAGCACAGUGAUAUGGUACAAGCGAUUGCUUGGAAAGGAGACGGAUCAAUGCUAGCAACAACAUGUAAAGAUAAACUUAUUCGCACAUUGGAUCCUCGUGCUCAAACUGUAUGUCAGGAACUGAAAGGACAUGCUGGCCAGAAGGAAUCCCGUGUAUCGUGGCUCGGAAGUGAAGAAAUGUUGUUCAGUACAGGCUUUGAUUCUGUGAGACAAAGACAGCUCUUUUUAUGGGACUUGAAAAAUCCAUCAUCACCUGUCUGUACACACUCAAUGGAUACAUCUCCUGGUGUCUUUAUACCAUUUUUUGAUGACCGAACUAACAUGUUGUUCCUUGUUGGGAAGGGAGAUAAUACACUGAGAUUUCUGGAAUAUACUGACCGGACCCCACAUAUUACAGACGUGGCUGCUGAUCGUACAGAACAAAUCAAAGGGGCUGCUGUGGUCCCAAAACAAGCAUUAGAUGUCAUGAAAGGAGAGAUAAACAGACUAAUUCUUCUGAUUAAAAAUGCAAUCAUUCCAACACCUUACAUUGUUCCCAGGAAAUCCUAUAGAGAAUACCAUUCUGAUAUUUUCCCAGAAGUCCCUAAUGGGCAACCAUCUAUGCAAGCUUCUGAGUGGUUAGCAGGAGAAAACAAACCGUUGGAACUUAUGGAUUUAAAUCCAAGUAAAAGAGCACCAUUAACCCUCAGAGCUCACAAUCUCAAUGCACCAGGUACUAAUUCUAUUACUAAUGCAAGUGACUCAGUUGAUCCUUCUAAAGAAAAGAAGUUAUUAAAAUGUGAUUCUUCUGCUGAAAAUGAAAAGAAAUCAACAGCUGAUUUGUCUACUGAAAACAAUAAGGAAUCAACCAUAAAUUCUUGUACUGAAAACAAAAGCAAACCAGCAAAUGAUAUAUCUGAAAACAAUAAGGAAUUAACAGUAAAUUCUACUGAAAAUAACAAGGAAUCAACUGUAAAUUCUUCUACAGAAAACAGCAAGGUGAAAGGUCCAUUAACUCCAAAAAGUCAACGUCGAGCAAGUGAAACUAUUAUGCAGAAAAUCGACAGUUUGAAUGCAGCCAUAGAAUUAAGUCAUUCUCCACCACCACAACGAAAAUUCCAAAAAGGCAACUGUGUUUUAGAUUCAAAAAAAUAUGAAGAAAAAGAUAAUGAUGUAUUUUCUGACAAUAAAGUUGCUGAAGAUGCUAAAACUGAACAUUCUCAGCAGACUAGAAAAAAAUCUUGUAACUCUAUGGAGGAAACUAAAAACAGUUUAUCUGAAGAAGUAAGAGAAAAUAAAGAUACAGAAAAUGAAAAUUCAAUGAAAAAUGAUAAUGAAGCUACUCCUUCAAAUUCAUCUUGCACAGAGAACUUAGACAAGAAUUCAACAAAUUCUACUGAGGCAGAUGGGAAAGCUUCUAAAAUAGAAGCUGAGUGCAAUAACAAAAAGGAUGUGAAAGAAUGUCUGUCUGAAACUCCAAAAGUUGCCAAUGGAGCAAUUGAGGAUAAAAUUUGCAAAGGUAAAGUAAAAGAAGAAACUCCAGAAAAAUCUGUGCCAGCCAAAAAAUCCGUUUCCACUCCAUCACGUUUUAUAAAUAUUAGACAAUUGAAAUUUAAACACCUUAAAGCUACCACACUGAACAAGGAACAUCAUAUUGAAAAUUUAAAAAAUUUAUCAAGGAACAUUCCUGGUGAGAGCGAUUUGUUUCAAGUAAAUCAAAAAAGAUGCGCAGUUCCAUUGUCUACAACUGGAGGUUGUGUUGCAAUAUUUGAGUUGAAUAAACCCUGCCGUUUACCAGAUUGUGGAAUUCCAAGUCUUCAGCAUGGCACUAAUGUUACAGAUUUUGUUUGGGACCCUUUUAAUAAUCAAAGACUAGUUGUUGCCUGUGAUGAUGCUAAAAUUAGAGUAUGGAACAUUCCGGAAGGUGGCUUGAAAGAAUCUGUGAGCGAACCAGAAUUCAUGUUAAUUGGUCAUCAGGAAAAAAUAUAUUUUGUACGUUUCCACCCACUUGCCAAAGAUAUCCUUGCGUCAGCUUCUUAUGACAUGACUGUGAAAAUCUGGGAUUUGACAACUCAGGAAGCAGUUAUAGAGCUUAAGGGACAUACUAGCCAGAUUUUCACUUUAGAUUGGAGUCCAUGUGGCAAGAAAUGUGCUACAGUAUGUAAAGAUGGCAAAAUACGUGUUUAUGAACCUCGUGUAUCUACAGAACCUAUUAAGGAAGGUACUGGUCCUUCCGGAAGCCGAGGAGCCAGAGUUGUAUGGACUCUAAAUGGCAAAUUCCUUGUUGCUACUGGUUUUGACAAAAUGAGCCAGCGCAAGUUAUUUUUAUAUGAUGCACAGGAAUUAGGAGCACCACUAGACUUAGUUGAAUUAGAUUCUUCUCCAGCAAUAUUGGUUCCUCAUUAUGAUGAAGACAGCUCUACAUUAUUUGUUACUGGACGGGGAGAUGGAACUAUAUUUACAUUCGAAGUAACACACGAAGCUCCUCACUUAAAUCCACUGAGCCCCUGUCGGUUCAGUAAUCUGCACCAAGCCAUAUCUUUCUUGCCAAAGAUUGCAUGUGAUGUUAGUCAAGUGGAAUUUGCUCAUGCAUGGAGGUUGUUAUUGACACAUAUAGAACCCGUCUCCUUUAAAGUUCCCCGAGUCAAGAGUAACUUCUUUCAAGACGAUCUGUUUCCUGACACCAAAGUGUUGUGGGAACCAGCUUUAAGUGGCUCUGAUUGGCUGAGUGGCGUAGAUGCUGAAGCUUCUAGAAUUAGUCUUAAGCCAGGCAACAUGGAAUCACUGAGUAAAGCCCCAACUCCUUCAGCUAAACAAAAAAAGUAUGACAGUACAGAUCCUGAAAUUUACAAGACUGAUGAAAUGAAGAAAAAGGAGACUGAACUUGAGGCUGAUUGGAGCAAUGACGUCUAAGUUGGAUGUAAGAGAAGACCCAUUGGAACAAGAUUUAACUGAAGGAGUUGACUCUGAUGAAUGGGAAGAGUAAGUGAUUGGCAAUGAGGAAACACUGAAAGAAAUUGGGAUAGCCACAGCAUCUUGUCUGUAUAUAUAUAUAUAUAUAUUGAAUGGAAAUUGUUAUUGUUGUUUCUGCUGUGAAUGUAUGUGUAUGAGUGUGUGUGUGUGUGUGUGUGUGACUAAAUGGUUUAUUUUAACUACAUUUUUGUCCUAUAUGAUGAUAUGUGCAUACAUACAAGACUAAUGAUAUAUAAACGUGUUUACUAUAAGUGGGACCAGUAUUAUUGAGAUGUCUAUAUAUAUAUAUAUAUAUGAGUAAAAAUAGCAUAGUUUAUAUAUUUAAGUGCAUUUUGAUAUGUAAAAUUUUGUAUGUUUGUAUAAUCAUUGAAAUUUAUAUGCUAUCAAAUAUUGUCUAUAUUCUCUUAAAGCAAAUGUUUUCUUUAUACUCUACGGUUUCUCUUCCAGUCUUUGGAAGAGAAACUUGAACUAUAUAACCUAAAUAUGAGCCCAUGAAUCAUUAUAACAAAUUCAUGUGAAUACAAAUUAUAUUAAAACAUGACUGUAAAAAAAAAAAAAAAUGUAAAUUCUUUAAUAUGGAAACGAUUGACUCAUCAACUCUUACUAAAAAUGGAGGAAGAACUAAACAAAUUAAAUUUUUUUAACAUUUUAAAAAAUAUGCUUACAUGUCUAUAUGUACUCAUUCAGAUAUGAAUGAGGUUCUCCCUUUUUAUUUGGUAUAUUACAAUGAUUUUCUCCCAUUGUUAAAUGAAGGUUUUUCAAUUUUUAAGGCAAAAAUCUGCUGUUUGAUAAAUGAAAAGCUUGGUUUUACAGAGCUUCAAUUUAGGAAUGUGAGUAAAGAUAAAUUUCUAUGUUAAGGGGUAAUGAGAUAAGAAUCAAUAUACCAAUACGCUCUGCUAAUAUGGUUCUAGUUGGAAUAUAAAUAUAUAUAUAUAUUACGGAUAUGUACUUGCAUAGCAAGUGACCUGAUCUGAGAUCGUGUUCCAUGCUGCAAUUAUAUACAUACAUAUAUAUAUAUAUAUAUAUAUCAACACCGUCUAAAUAUCUGAUUUUCUAUGCAAGAAGGGUUUGAAUAGUUCUGAAGUGCCGUACAUUUCCACAGAAAACAAUCUUGUGUCACUUUAUGUGUGCAGCCCAAUUUUCUCAGGCAUCACCUUCAGCUCUACUAUUACUUCCUCAGUCUUCCAUAGCCUACUCUUCUGUGGCUAACAUCUACCAUCAAGUUGUUGCUUUGCCACCAUUUACCUACCUAUUACUGCAGUCUUCUCUACUGCAUAUAUUGGUAAAUGCCAUUGAUGUUUGUUCCAUUUCUUAACCCAUUUGUAAUUGUCUCUUGCAAACUAGAAACCUGCUUUCAGUGGAUCCUGUUAAAUGUUUCUCUCUACUUGUUGCAUGUCUUCGUCUAUCACUGCAAUUUUUACACAUUCCUGAUGUAGUCAGCCUUCCAUCGAAAGGCAAAUACAUUGAUACUGAUAGUAGUCAGCCUUCCAUCGAAAGGCAAAUACAUUGAUACUGAUAGUAGUUGCUGUUUCCUAAACUGCUUCCUUUUAAUUCAUACUCUGUCCACUGGACAAUCUCUGCUUCCACCUUCAUGUGUGCAUAAGCAUUCAUUAAGCUUCAUUGAAUUCUAGUUUUUAUUAAAUAAAAAAAAGUAAUCCAUUUUCCGAAUAGUUUUCUACUGACCUAACACUUUAAAAGUAACAUCUCAUAAACUUUUGGAUCACAUAUAAAUGCUUUUAUAGUGAUUCAAGGGAAGAACUGGUUUGGCUUCAUAUUGCCUUAUCCAGUCCCAUGAAUAAUGGAGCUCAGAAUGUUAAGUAUUUAAUUAUGCAGUGAUCUAUAGCUUAUAAUUGUGAGCUCCAUCUCAACAUGAUACUUAUUUUUUAUGUAUAAUUGAAUUAGGAGCUACACGUCUUUGACAUAGCAAACUGUAGUUUCUUUCUACACCUUGAAAUUAUUUUUUACAUUACCACAUAUUUGCAAGAGGGAGACAGUCCGUUGAAUUGACUCUUGCAAAUGACUGGUAAUUGUUUCAUCAAAGCUGGAGAGAUAAAAGGCAAAAACAAUUUGUGCUAUUUGAAGUAAAGUGUUGAAAUAUCUUCCAUUAAUUUGUCAGAUGAUGAUGUGCAGUACUAUGGCACAUAGAGAUUAUCUCUGACUGGAAAAAACGUGUUGGAGUGGAAUUUCCAGAACAAAGAUUGAUCUAAGUAUUUAGCAUGGGGCCACACAGUAGGGGUGUUGAAAGGAAAAGUGAGUGAUUAGGUGGAGGUGGUAUGUGACUUGGUACUUCAGAAACUGUUUUAAUUUGGUAGUGAGUGAACUUGUGCCAGCCCAAUGGGCCUUUUUGCAGAGUGGUCUAGAACGUAUAUCUUUGUGUAGCAGCAGAACUGAUCCAGCAGAGCCCUUGAGCUUUAUAGAGAUUCUGCAACUGAUCAAAGCCAAAAUAAUUUCUGGCUCUAAAGAAAAGUUGAGCACUUGCAGUGCUGUUUUGGAAAUGUAAAUGUUUUGGUCACUGAAUAAUCAACAGAAAGUGUUGAGUGCAGUGGUGUUGCAGUUUCAAGGGUUUAGCAGGGUUGUUUAUGCAUAAGGAGUGCUGGCUGCUGCUUCGACAUGUGCAGUGAUUACAUCAUCAAGCUGUUGAAGAAUAUUCUCAUUGGAAAACGUUUAUGAAGUCUGUUUAUGGAAACAUUGCAAGUCUGAUAUGAUGGGUGUAAGUUGCAUGUGGAUGACAACUGUUUGUUGAAGGUUAAUAAGGAAUCAUUUUUAUAGUUAUGCGUGCUUUUUAUUUUAAGUAACAGCAAGUAGGUCAUUGGUGUGCCAAAGGAUGAGAGCGGGGAGACAUAACCAAAUGCUGUGAGGUACCUCUGAUUUGAUAGUAUAUGAAGGGAAGAAGGAAAAAAAAAAAUGGAAGAAAUACAAUUAGAAGAGAAAGUAGAAA